rnacentral:rRNA from 1 species
UACAGAGGUCUCAAGCGUUGUUCGGAUUCAUUGGGCGUAAAGGGUGCGUAGGCGGCGGGGCAAGUCUGAUGUGAAAUCCCGGGGCUCAACCCCGGAACUGCAUUGGAUACUGCUCUGCUUGAGCACUGGAGAGGAGACUGGAAUUUACGGUGUAGCAGUGAAAUGCGUAGAGAUCGUAAGGAAGACCAGUGGCGAAGGCGAGUCUCUGGACAGUUGCUGACGCUGAGGCACGAAAGCCAGGGGAGCAAACGGG